rnacentral:rRNA from 1 species
UGGGGAAUUUUGGACAAUGGGGGCAACCCUGAUCCAGCAAUGCCGCGUGUGUGAAGAAGGCCUUCGGGUUGUAAAGCACUUUUGUCCGGAAAGAAAACGUCGUGGUUAAUACCCGUGGCGGCUGACGGUACCGGAAGAAUAAGCACCGGCUAACUACGUGCCAGCAGCCGCGGUAAUACGUAGGGUGCAAGCGUUAAUCGGAAUUACUGGGCGUAAAGCGUGCGCAGGCGGUCCGCUAAGACAGAUGUGAAAUCCCCGGGCUUAACCUGGGAACUGCAUUUGUGACUGGCGGGCUAGAGUAUGGCAGAGGGGGGUAGAAUUCCACGUGUAGCAGUGAAAUGCGUAGAGAUGUGGAGGAAUACCGAUGGCGAAGGCAGCCCCCUGGGCCAAUACUGACGCUCAUGCACGAAAGCGUGGGGGAGCAAAACAGGAUUCAGAUACCCUGGUAGUCCACGCCCUAAACGAUGUCAACUAGUUGUCGGGUCUUCAUUGACUUGGUAACGUAGCUAACGCGUGAAGUUGACCGCCUGGGGAGUACGGUCGCAAGAUUAAAACUUAAAGAAUUGAC